ACGGGUGCGUAACGCGUAUGCAACCUACCUUUAACAGGGGAUAACACUGAGAAAUUGGUACUAAUACCCCAUAAUAUCAUAGAAGGCAUCUUUUAUGGUUGAAAAUUCCGAUGGUUAGAGAUGGGCAUGCGUUGUAUUAGCUAGUUGGUGGGGUAACGGCCCACCAAGGCGAUGAUCAGUAGCCGGUCUGAGAGGAUGAACGGCCACAUUGGGACUGAGACACGGCCCAG
rnacentral:rRNA from 1 species